rnacentral:rRNA from 1 species
GACGAACGCUGGCGGCGUGCUUAAUACAUGCAAGUCGAACGGAAAGGUCCUGCUCUUGUGGGGUGCUCGAGUGGCGAACGGGUGAGUAACACGUGAGUAACCUGCCCUUGACUUUGGGAUAACUUCAGGAAACUGGGGCUAGUAUCGGAUAGGAUCUCUUGCUGCGCGUUGGGGGUUGGUAAGUUUCGGCGGUUGGGGAUGGACUCGCGGCUUAUCAGCUUGAUGGUGGGGUAGGGGCUUACCAAGGUUUUGAAGGGUAGCCGGCCUGAGAGGGUGACCGGCGACAUUGGGACUGAGGUACGGCCCAGACGCGUACGGGAGGCAGCAGUGGGGAAUAUUGCAGAAUGGGCGGAAGCCUGAUGCAGCAACGCCGCGUGCGGGAUGACGGCCUUCGGGUUGUAAACCGAUUUCGCCUGUGACGAAGCGUGAGUGACGGUAAUGGGUAAGGAAGCACCGGCUAACUACGUG